UGAGGAAUAUUGGACAAUGGGCGCAAGCCUGAUCCAGCCAUGCCGCGUGCAGGAUGACGGUCCUAUGGAUUGUAAACUGCUUUUAUACGAGAAGAAACACUCCGACGUGUCGGAGCUUGACGGUAUCGUAAGAAUAAGGAUCGGCUAACUCCGUGCCAGCAGCCGCGGUAAUACGGAGGAUCCAAGCGUUAUCCGGAAUCAUUGGGUUUAAAGGGUCCGUAGGCGGUUUAAUAAGUCAGUGGUGAAAGCCCAUCGCUCAACGGUGGAACGGCCAUUGAUACUGUUAGACUUGAAUUAUUAGGAAGUAACUAGAAUAUGUAGUGUAGCGGUGAAAUGCUUAGAGAUUACAUGGAAUACCAAUUGCGAAGGCAGGUUACUACUAAUUGAUUGACGCUGAUGGACGAAAGCGUGGGUAGCGAACA
rnacentral:rRNA from 1 species